rnacentral:rRNA from 1 species
UACUACGGGAGGCAGCAGUGGGGAAUAUUGCACAAUGGGCGCAAGCCUGAUGCAGCCAUGCCGCGUGUAUGAAGAAGGCCUUCGGGUUGUAAAGUACUUUCAGCAGUGAGGAAGGGGUGUCCGUUAAUAGCGUGCAUCUUUGACGUUAGCUGCAGAAGAAGCACCGGCUAACUCCGUGCCAGCAGCCGCGGUAAUACGGAGGGUGCGAGCGUUAAUCGGAAUUACUGGGCGUAAAGCGCAUGCAGGUGGUUUGUUAAGUCAGAUGUGAAAGCCCGGGGCUCAACCUCGGAAUAGCAUUUGAAACUGGCAGACUAGAGUACUGUAGAGGGGGGUAGAAUUUCAGGUGUAGCGGUGAAAUGCGUAGAGAUCUGAAGGAAUACCGGUGGCGAAGGCGGCCCCCUGGACAGAUACUGACACUCAGAUGCGAAAGCGUGGGGAGCAAACAGGAUUAGAUACCCUGGUAGUCCACGCCGUAAACGAUGUCUACUUGGAGGUUGUGGCCUUGAGCCGUGGCUUUCGGACUAACGCGUUAAGUAAACC